UGGGGAAUUUUGGACAAUGGGCGAAGGCCUGAUCCAGCAAUGCCGCGUGUGUGAAGAAGGCCUUCGGGUUGUAAAGCACUUUUGUCCGGAAAGAAAUCCUUGGCUCUAAUACAGUCGGGGGAUGACGGUACCGGAAGAAUAAGCACCAGCUAACUACGUGCCAGCAGCCGCGGUAAUACGUAGGGUGCAAGCGUUAAUCGGAAUUACUGGGCGNAAAGCGUGCGCAGGCGUUUGCUAAGACCGAUGUGAAAUCCCCGGGCUCAACCUGGGAACUGCAUUGGUGACUGGCAGGCUAGAGUAUGGCAGAGGGGGGUAGAAUUCCACGUGUAGCAGUGAAAUGCGUAGAGAUGUGGAGGAAUACCGAUGGNGAAGGCAGCCCCCUGGGCCAAUACUGACGCUCAUGCACGAAAGCGUGGGGAGCAAACAGGAUUAGAUACCCUGGUAGUCCACGCCCUAAACGAUGUCAACUAGUUGUUGGGGAUUCAUUUCCUUAGUAACGUAGCUAACGCGUGAAGUUGACCGCCUGGGGAGUACGGUCGCAA
rnacentral:rRNA from 1 species